GACAGAGGGGCCAAGCGUUGUCCGGAUUGACUGGGCGUAAAGCGCACGCAGGCGGAUGCGCGCGUGGGGUGUGAAAUCUGGCCGCUUAACGGCCAGGCGCCAUCCCAUACGGCGCGUCUGGAGUGAUGCAGAGGUCGAUGGAAUUGCCGGUGUAGUGGUGAAAUGCGUAGAGAUCGGCAGGAACACCCAGGGGGAAACCAGUCGACUGGGCAUCUACUGACGCUGAGGUGCGAGAGCGUGGGGAGCGAACCGG
rnacentral:rRNA from 1 species